AUUAUGCCUGCUCAAAUAGAAAACUGAUUGUUUAUAUCCAUUAAGGUUGUCCCUCCAUAGUUAAGUGACCUGUUGGACCUAGUAAGCAGCAGUCUCUUGACCACAGUGAGCUGAAAAGCAAAACAAGAGUGGAAAUACAGUAAAGACAUCUUUUCAGGAUCCGCUCAGUGGCAAUGGAGAAGGGCGAUGGAGCCGGAGAAGGAGCUAUCAGAACCAGCUGUGGGAGCUGGUGGUGUUCAGCCUGGAGAAGAGGAGGCCCAGGGGAGACCUUAUUGCUCUCUAAAGCUGCCUGAAAGGAGGGUGUAAUCCAGGACCUGCCUCAUAGUCUCCAGCAAGAAUAGGCACGAUUAGAUUAAAAGUUCAGGGAUCCUCUAAUCAUCUCUCAAACUCCAUCCAAUGCCAUUAGCACUGAAUUACAGACAAGCCUCAACUUCUGUAUCUCAACCCAGCCUGUUCAACCUAUUCCUCCUUGAAGAGUUAUUACACAUUAAAUGAGCCAGAGAGCAAAACGCUGAACACAGCACAGCAGCAAAAAUAUUCAUCUGUAAUACUAGACAGCCAGGGUCCUUGCUACUGUUAACAGCAUAUUUAUGAAGAGUGAAACUACUAACAGAAGAAAUGAAACAAUUUAAUUUUCAUUAAUAUUAGAUAUUAACACCUGUUAACUGCUUGGUGAUGUGAAGUGAAAUGAUUCCAGAAUAGCUGUUCAUAUUUCUUUCAAAUUGGAAAAAAAUGAUAUCAUAGUACCUUUAUUCUAGUGGAUAAGAGAAAUCAACUGAAAUAUAAAUUAUUAAAGAUAUAGGUUAAAUUUGAAAGAAAGAAAGGACCUGGAGGUGAAUCCCUAAAAUCCAUGAGAAUGAACGCCCUAGUUUCUCAAUUACUUUGGCUAAAAUUUCUGGUUAAAAAUUAUAUUAAGAACCACAAGGCCAAGACAAAGGAUCACGGAAGUUUGUUUUAAAAAGAAAAGAGUUCAACCUUAAAAGAAUUAUAAAAUCAUUUAAAUAGGCCUCUAUACUUUUUUAAAAAAAUGAAAAUAACUAGUAACUGAGUUCAGAAUUUGUUUAUCAAACCAGAUAUUAAACACACUAAUUCAAUAGCCGCACUAUCCCCUUCAUGCUUUUUAUGGGGUCAGGUGAUGCGUUCAAAAGACCUAAGUGUCAUGAACCACCACCUGUUUUAAAAGCACCUCUUUACUGAUCAGCUUCACCCCUGAGUUAGACUGUUGCUGUGAAAUAAUAUUCAGAUUUUUUGUGUCUGAAACACAAAAUAUUUCUGGCCUGUCUACCUGUUACCUGUCAGUAUGAGUGCCAUUCACAUAUAAACCAGCUAGUUCUGAAUCAAUUCACUUGAGCAUUUAAAUCAGUAUUACUGCAUUAAUAUAACUGUCCACAGUGGCUAAUAUAUACUGGUUUUUAGUGUUGUGUAAUGUAGCCAAUUCCCUUUACAGUUUUAGUUAAUGAAAGACUCUUUUCCACAUUUUCGUCCAAAAACUGUUGUGUAACAUCACUGUGUAUUGUAAAUAGCUUCCCACUUCCAUCUGCUAUCUGCUCUAAACUGCUCUGGUUUGCAAAGUUUUUGUUUUACAGUUCUUGAGCAUAAAUCCUUGUUGUAAUUUCUUCUGGACUAUGGUUACCAGUAGCAGUGGCACAUAAAGAUUAUACUGUAAAUACAUUCUUACUAGUUAAACAGAGUCUAAAAGAGUGCCUCAAAAAUUCAUUUUAAUGAAAACAUUUUGUAACAGAUUGGACAUCAUGACUCUCUUGAAUUCAAUGGGAUACACCCUACUAAGCAGCUGAGCUGAGCACCUCCUUUCUUAGCACUCUGAAAGGAUACACUAAAUGCCCCACAAAUGUCAUACAGGUAACAAUCAUUCUAGACUUAAAUUUUGUUUAUGAUUACAGUGACAAGAACAUAUUAAAAUCAUAAACUAGAGGACAUCAUGGUUGAUUCGUAGCUCAGAUAAUGUGCUAAGAAAACAAAAAGAAACACACAAAAAUAGAUUUUUACCCAUACCAGUCACUGCUAUAGCUUCCAACAAAGUUCAGACAAGCCAAGACAAUUUGAAUGAUGCCAGGUAAUUCUGAAAUAUGGUUGUACUGGGUUUGUGUGACAAGGGUUUGGUAGCAGAGUGGCUACAGGGGGUGCUCUGUAAGCAGCUGCCAGGAACUUUCCCCAUGUCCAGAGCCAAUGCCAGAUGGAUCCAGCGUGAGCCUACUCCUGACCACAGGUGAGUGCCAGGGUCAGUGAUAGCAGCAGCACCUCUGGGAAAAUGUAUUUAUGAAGAGGGAACAAAAAGCGCAGCACCUCCAGUGAGAGAGAGGAAUGAGAGCAUGUGAGAGCAACAACUCUGGAGGUACAGAGGUCAGUGAAUGGUGAGGCAGCUACUCCUGCAGCCCUGGAGGAGCCCACACCAGAGCAGGUGGAUGUGCCUG